UUCAAUCUUGACUUUCAGGGCAAGCUCCAU
rnacentral:piRNA from 1 species